UACGUAGGUGGCAAGCGUUGUCCGGAAUUAUUGGGCGUAAAGCGCGCGCAGGCGGUCCUUUAAGUCUGAUGUGAAAGCCCCCGGCUCAACCGGGGAGGGUCAUUGGAAACUGGGGGACUUGAGUGCAGAAGAGGAGAGUGGAAUUCCACGUGUAGCGGUGAAAUGCGUAGAGAUGUGGAGGAACACCAGUGGCGAAGGCGACUCUCUGGUCUGUAACUGACGCUGAGGCGCGAAAGCGUGGGUAGCGAACAGG
rnacentral:rRNA from 1 species